GAAGAGAAUCUGAAAUUGUAUUAAGAACUUGAGAUUACAGUAAUGGAAUUACACCAGCAAUUCUCUCACUCUCCUCCCUUGUUCUCAAUACAAAUAUAGCUAGAAAAAAAAAAUCCAAACACUCUAGUUAGAAUGCUUGGCCCAGCAACAAUGCGGAAAUAAAAGAGCUAUGCCCUCCCAGCAGAAAGAAUUCUGCCCCCAAGC
rnacentral:misc_RNA from 1 species